rnacentral:rRNA from 1 species
GACGAACGCUGGCGGCGUGCUUAACACAUGCAAGUCGAACGGAAAGGCCCUGCUUUUGUGGUGUGCUCGAGUGGCGAACGGGUGAGUAACACGUGAGUAACCUGCCCUUGACUUUGGGAUAACUUCAGGAAACUGGGGCUAAUACCGGAUAGGAGCUCCUGCUGCAUGGUGGGGGUUGGAAAGUUUCGGCGGUUGGGGAUGGACUGGCGGCUUACGAGCUUGUUGGUGGGGUAGUGGCUUACCAAGGCUUUGACGGGUAGCCGGCCUGAGAGGGUGACCGGCCACAUUGGGACUGAGGUACGGCCCAGACUCCUACGGGAGGCAGCAGUGGGAAAUAUUGCACAAUGGGCGGAAGCCUGAUGCAGCAACGCCGCGUGCGGGAUGACGGCCUUUGGGUUGUGAACCGCUUUCGCCUGUGACGAAGCGUGAGUGACGGUAAUGGGUAAAGAAGCACCGGCUAACUACGUG